GACGAACGCUGGCGGUGUGCUUAACACAUGCAAGUGGUGCGACGAACCAGAGCUUGCUCUGGGGCAAAGCCGCGAACGGGUGAGUAACACGUGGGUAAUCUACCCCGAUGACCGGGACAACCCGAGGAAACUCGGGCUAAUACCGGAUGUGGUGCGGAGACAUAAGUCUCUUCACUAAAGGUAGCUUCGGCUUCCGCAUUGGGAGGGGCCCGCGGCCCAUUAGCUUGUUGGUGGGGUCAAGGCCUACCAAGGCAACGAUGGGUAGCUGGUCUGAGAGGACGAUCAGCCACACUGGGACUGAGACACGGCCCAGACUCCUACGGGAGGCAGCAGUGGGGAAUCUUGCGCAAUGCGCGAAAGCGUGACGCAGCAACACCGCGUGAGGGAAGAAGGCCUUAGGGUUGUAAACCUCUUUCAGAUGGGACGAAGGUUCUCCGGUGAAUAGCCGAGAGGAUUGACGGUACCGUCAGAAGAAGCACCGGCUAACUACGUG
rnacentral:rRNA from 1 species